CAAAAAACCUGGCCAAGUCCGAACCGCGCAGCGAGAGGUGCUUGCACCUUUCAAGCGAGUGGCGAACGGGUGAGUAACACGUGGAUAACCUGCCUCAAGGCUGGGGAUAACAUUUGGAAACAGAUGCUAAUACCGAAUAAAACUUAGUAUCGCAUGAUAUCAAGUUAAAAGGCGCUACGGCGUCACCUAGAGAUGGAUCCGCGGUGCAUUAGUUAGUUGGUGGGGUAAAGGCUUACCAAGACAAUGAUGCAUAGCCGAGUUGAGAGACUGAUCGGCCACAUUGGGACUGAGACACGGCCCAAACUCCUACGGGAGGCUGCAGUAGGGAAUCUUCCACAAUGGGCGCAAGCCUGAUGGAGCAACGCCGCGUGUGUGAUGAAGGCUUUCGGGUCGUAAAGCACUGUUGUAUGGGAAGAAAUGCUAAAAUAGGGAAUGAUUUUAGUUUGACGGUACCAUACCAGAAAGGGACGGCUAAAUACGUGCCAGCAGCCGCGGUAAUACGUAUGUCCCGAGCGUUAUCCGGAUUUAUUGGGCGUAAAGCGAGCGCAGACGGUUGAUUAAGUCUGAUGUGAAAGCCCGGAGCUCAACUCCGGAAUGGCAUUGGAAACUGGUUAACUUGAGUGUUGUAGAGGUAAGUGGAACUCCAUGUGUAGCGGUGGAAUGCGUAGAUAUAUGGAAGAACACCAGUGGCGAAGGCGGCUUACUGGACAACAACUGACGUUGAGGCUCGAAAGUGUGGGUAGCAAACAGGAUUAGAUACCCUGGUAGUCCACACCGUAAACGAUGAAUACUAGGUGUUAGGAGGUUUCCGCCUCUUAGUGCCGAAGCUAACGCAUUAAGUAUUCCGCCUGGGGAGUACGACCGCAAGGUUGAAACUCAAAGGAAUUGACGGGGACCCGCACAAGCGGUGGAGCAUGUGGUUUAAUUCGAAGCAACGCGAAGAACCUUACCAGGUCUUGACAUCCUUUGAAGCUUUUAGAGAUAGAAGUGUUCUCUUCGGAGACAAAGUGACAGGUGGUGCAUGGUCGUCGUCAGCUCGUGUCGUGAGAUGUUGGGUUAAGUCCCGCAACGAGCGCAACCCUUAUUGUUAGUUGCCAGCAUUCAGUUGGGCACUCUAGCGAGACUGCCGGUGACAAACCGGAAGAAAGGCGGGGAACAACUUCAGAUCAUCAGGCCCCUUAUAACCGGGGCUAACACCGUUGCUAAAAUGGGGUAAACAACAAAUUUGCCAC
rnacentral:rRNA from 1 species